AAAAAUACGUCCCAGUUCAGACUGCAGGCUGCAACUCGCCUGCACGAAGUCGGAAUUGCUAGUAAUCGCGGAUCAGCAUGCCGCGGUGAAUACGUUCCCGGGCUUUGUACACACCGCCCGUCAAACCACGAAAGUUGGGAACACCCGAAGCCUGUGAGCCAACCGCAAGGAGGCAGCAGUCGAAGGUGGGUUCAAUGAUUGGGGUUAAGUCGUAACAAGGUACC
rnacentral:rRNA from 1 species